GAUGAACGCUGGCGGCGUGCUUAAUACAUGCAAGUCGAACGGACAGACGCGGAUCUUGUUGCUUUGUCGUUAGCGGCGGGCGUGUGUGUAACACGUGGAUAACCUACCUAUCAGACUGAUAUAACUUCGGGAAUCCGGAGCUUAUACCGGAUGAUCUUUUGCACCGCAUGGUUCAUUGGUGAGAGACGGCUUUUCUGUCUCUUCUAGAUGGAUCCGGGCUGUAUUAGCUAGUUGGUACGGUAAUGGCUUACCAAGGCAACGAUGCGUAGCCGAACUGAGAGGGUGGUCGGCGACACUGGAACGGAGACGCGGUCAAGAGGACUACGGGAGGCAGCAGUAGGGAAUGGUACGCAAUGGGGGAAAGCAUGACGGAGCAGCGGCGCGUGAGUGAUGAAGGUGUUCGGAGCGUAAAAAUCUGUUAUUAGGGGAGAACAUAUGUGGAAGUAGCUGUGCAGAGCGUGACGGUACCGGAUCAGAAAGCAACGGCUAACUACGUG
rnacentral:rRNA from 1 species